GGGCACAUGGUGUAGAUGGUUAUCACGCUCGCUUAGCAUCGUCAAAGCGAGUCCUGCGAGAGGUCUCCGUUUCGAGUACGGAUGUGUCCA